AAACGCUAGGCAACAGUUAGAGCAUUGGAAGCCUCCUAGUGGUGCUGUGUGUGCCUCCCCUGCUUUCCCAAGAGGAAGAUGAGGGUGUGAGGCCAGUGAACGACGUUUCAAGACCCAUCCCGUCCUGCCUCUGAAGCUCACUCUCGGACUUAGAGAGAAUUCCUUCCGUUCCCUCAAAGAGCGAUGCUGGCGUUACAGCAGCAGCAGAAGGCCCACGUUUGCCAGGUAGUUGCAGUUUGGUGUCCUCUGGGAUGCCCCAAGAGUCAGGGACAAGAUGACACGUCCCUUCCAGGAGCGCCGUUUCCCCAAGAGCUAGUCGGCCUCAUCGGAUCACCCGGACCCACCAGUACCAGGCCCAGCUCCAGACACAGCUAUGGGACUAAAGGCUUCAGAGCACCUGACGCGGAUCUGAAAAAUAAGCUGAAAUCCCAAUGUCUGCAGAGCACCCACCACGGAGAGUCAGGCAUUGGGAAACGCUGGUGAGGAUGCGUAGGACCGUCCUACCUGCCGGCACUGGGGGCCGCCCAGGCUGGGCCCGGGCAGGUGGAAGGUGUAGGUGAAGGUGCGCGUCCCCCCACACAGCUGCCUUAAUACCUGGUGUCAGGAAGACUCCUUUUUUUCAUUUUAAUUAACACUACAAACGAGAUUUCCGCCGUCACUGCCAGCACCUCCCCAAAAAAGCCAGCCUCCUCCUCAUCCCGUGGGUUUCCUCUGCAUCCGCCCUCGUAUGUACGUAGGGCAAGGACCCAGUUGAACUACGGCAGGAGCACCUAUGGCAUCUAUUUGAUCAGAAGAACUUAAAGAGCCUGAGAGGUCAGAGGAGGACAAACUUCGGUUAGAAGAAGGAUGUGCCUUCCUUUCUGGCCGUGUGGCCAGGGUAGCCGUUUGCAGAGGGAGGCAGAGGAGGGCUCGGACCAGCAUCACCUUGGUCCAGAAAUGUCAGAGCGUGCAUUCUUCCGGGAGGUGCCGGGAGCAUCACUAAAUCCCUCUGGUCUCAGGAGGAAAACUUGGGCACCAGAUGGGCCAAGGCAGAGUGUUAGCAGGGGGCUCAGACUAGUAGUUUUCUGACUCUUACCACAAAUUAUAAUGAUAAAGGGAAGAAAGACUUUUAUUUUAUUUUUUAAAGAUUUUAUUUAUUUGAGAGAGAGAGAGAGGACACGCAUGGGGGGAGGGGCGGGGGGAAGGAGGGGGCUCCUGGGAUCAUGACCUGAGCCGAAGGCAGAUGCUUAGCCAACGGAGCCACCCCGGGGCACCCUCCUCCCUUUUUAAGAGCUCU
rnacentral:lncRNA from 12 species